rnacentral:rRNA from 1 species
CGGGGUGAGUAAUGUCUGGGAAACUGCCUGAUGGAGGGGGAUAACUGCUGGAAACGGUAGCCAAUACCGCAUAACGUCGCAAGACCAAAGAGGGGGACCUUCGGGCCUCUUGCCAUCGGAUGUGCCCAGAUGGGAUUAGCUAGUAGGUGGGGUAACGGCUCACCUAGGCGACGAUCCCUAGCUGGUCUGAGAGGAUGACCAGCCACACUGGAACUGAGACACGGUCCAG